UACGAGUGCCUCAAGCGUUAUCCGGAAUCAUUGGGCGUAAAGGUUGUGUAGGUGGUUGUAUUAGUCUUCUGUUAAAUUCUUCGGCUUAACCGGGGGCAUGCAGGGGAAACGGUACGACUCGAGGAUGCGAGGGGGGUUAGCGGAACUCAUAGUGUAGCGGUGAAAAUGCGUUGAUAUUAUGGGGAACACCAAAAGCGAAGGCAGCUAACUGGAGCACUCCUGACACUGAAACAAGAAAGCGUGGGUCGCGAAUGGG
rnacentral:rRNA from 1 species